GGGGGUGUGGUGUUGUGUGGCGUGAGGGGUGGGUUGGUGGUUGUGGGGGAGAGGGGAUGGUAAAGAAAGAAGAAUGAUUAUGCUGGUUGGACAGUUAAUCAGUUAGACAGCUAGGAAAUGUCAAUUAUGAUAUAAUGUCUCAGCCUUAUUGUGAAUUGUAUGUGUCCUCAACUACAACUGUGGAGAUCCCACCAAAAAAAAAAGGACUAUACCACAGAAUCACAGAGAGAGAAAGAGAAAGAGAAAGAAGGGGUAAAGAAAAAGAAAAAUAAAAAUAA
rnacentral:misc_RNA from 1 species